rnacentral:misc_RNA from 1 species
GAACUACGUUAAUCGGUGUGAAUUGCAGAACACGCAGAACACUCGAUCUUUGAACGCACAUGGCGGCUUAGUUUUACGGCUAUGCCUUGUCUGUGUGAGGGUUGUAAAAAGUAAAUCAAGGCUACCUUGAGAGUGAUGGUGAUGCUCCUCGAAAAUAAGGAGUGUCUCGAUCGCUGUUUCCUGCAACCACUUCGGUUGCAGUUCCCAGACCAAGUCUGUGGAACAGCAAUGAGAGAUAUGUAUUGGAAGGACAAAGUAGACCUGUGUGGAUAUCCAAGUCUGAUCGUCGUCUUUCUCAUUCUGCAACCUGACAUCAGGCAAGAUUGGCCACUUAACUUAA